GACCCAACAAUUCCAGUAAUUCCCCCAAGAGCAUGCAUUUAGAUACAUUUUCAGACAAAACAACCACAUGAUAUAAAAAUAAGAGCAGUAGAACUAGCAUUAUUCUUUCUUGCAAAUAUAACUAUACAUAUUCCUUCUUCAUAUACUCUUAUAAAU